rnacentral:rRNA from 1 species
AGAUUGAACGCUGGCGGCAGGCCUAACACAUGCAAGUCGAGCGGUAGAGAGGUGCUUGCAUCUCUUGAGAGCGGCGGACGGGUGAGUAAUGCCUAGGAAUCUGCCUAGUGGUGGGGGAUAACGUUCGGAAACGGACGCUAAUACCGCAUACGUCCUACGGGAGAAAGCGGGGGACCUUCGGGCCUCGCGCCAUUAGAUGAGCCUAGGUCGGAUUAGCUUAGUUGGUGAGGUAAUGGCUCACCAAGGCGACGAUCCGUAACUGGUCUGAGAGGAUGAUCAGUCACA